AUUGAACGCUGGCGGCAUGCCUUACACAUGCAAGUCGAACGGCAGCAUGAUCUAGCUUGCUAGAUUGAUGGCGAGUGGCGAACGGGUGAGUAAUACAUCGGAACGUGCCCUGUAGUGGGGGAUAACUAGUCGAAAGAUUAGCUAUACCGCCUUCGACCCGAGGGUGGAAGGUGGGGCCCGGAAGGCCCUCUUGCAUAGGAACGGCCGAUGUCUGAUUAGCUAGUUGGUGAGGUAAAGGCUCACCAAGGCGACGAUCAGUAGCUGGUCUGAGAGGACGAUCAGCCACACUGGGACUGAGACACGGCCCAGACUCCUACGGGAGGCAGCAGUGGGGAAUUUUGGACAAUGGGCGAAAGCCUGAUCCAGCAAUGCCGCGUGUGUGAAGAAGGCCUUCGGGUUGUAAAGCACUUUUGUCCGGAAAGAAAUGGCUCUGGUUAAUACCUGGGGUCGAUGACGGUACCGGAAGAAUAAGGACCGGCUAACUACGUG
rnacentral:rRNA from 1 species